rnacentral:rRNA from 1 species
UACGGGGGGGGCAAGCGUUGUUCGGAAUUACUGGGCGUAAAGGGCGUGUAGGCGGCCAACUAAGUCCGACGUGAAAUCCCCAGGCUUAACCUGGGAACUGCGUCGGAUACUGGAUGGCUUGAUCCGGGAGAGGGAUGCGGAAUUCCAGGUGUAGCGGUGAAAUGCGUAGAUAUCUGGAGGAACACCGGUGCGAAGGCGGCUGCUCUGGAACGGUACUGACGCUGAGACGCGAAAGCGUGGGGAGCAAACAGGAUUGAGA